UAGAUUCUCUGUGAUUCUAUGAUAAUAUGAGCUCAUCAGCUGAAGCCAACAGAACCAGGGACCUUCUGCCUGAAUAUCUCUAUUGUUCUGUCAAGCUGUUUCCUUCUGCACACAGAGUAGACAGCUUUGGGGCUUUAUGAGUACACUUCUUGGUUUGGCUGGCGACAAAAAUUAAGAGCAAGGGUGGGAUGAGGGCUCUGCUGAAAACAGCGCAGAAUUCCCGCAGUUUCGGCAGAACCUGGAAUUCACAGCAAGUGCUUGUUUUCCUCGUCCUCGUUGCUACCCUCCGUUUGGUCAGCAGGUGGCAAUCUCUACUUUUCAUCUGGUCUGAAAAGUUCUGCUUGCACAACACAAACUCUUUAUUCAAGUAGCUGUUUCUGCUUUGCGUCGGGUAUUCUGACCGGGAGCUGGGAGCAGAGCAGUUUGGCUAAGCAUGAGGUUCAUUAACUUCUGGGUGACCUUUUCACAGUAGAUACAUGGCUGUUGCAGAAGCAGAAAAUGCCCUGCAAGUAGAGAAGGCAAGGCAGGAGCCUGCAGAAAAGUAGGGGUAACUGCAUCUUCUUGGGAAUUAGGGGAAAUAAAUAUAUUUGUCAUCUUCUAGUCCUAUAGCAAGAAGUUUAUAAGAGCUAUCUUUAAUCAGUGAAAUUCCAUUAAAGGCAUGGUAGGUACGUGUAAAGCCUUUGCAGGUUUCAGGUUGUCCCGUAGAGUUCAGAGGUCUGCCCUAACAUUUGGUGGAGAGAUACACAUGUCCUUGGGGGAUGGAUCUUUCUCUAUAAAUUCCACAGAAUUAUCAUAACAGGAGCUUAGUGUUUCUACAACUGUAAAAUGAAACUCUGACAGCCUGAUUAUAAUCAAUCAAAUGACUAUAAUGAAAGUACUGAUACUUCUGCAUGUAGAAGUUAGUCUGAAAUGUAUGGCCAGUAAGCAGAGGUGGCGUGGAGCUAUUGGCCCUGACCUCUGCAGAGAAUUGGGCUGAAUCUCUUUGGAUCAACCUCCUCAACAGUGUUUUCAAGCAUAAGAUCUGCAUUUAAGAUGGGGGAGA